AAAAAAAACCCGGCAUUGGACGCUGGAGGAGACACUGUUUAAUUGAUGUUUGGGGUGAACCACGCUACCAAAGGCAAUUUGAACAAAUGGCGCACAACCACACCAUUUGGGGAAAAUAUUCACAAAGUCCUCGUCCUCCGGUGCCCGUCUAUACAGGACUUUGAAGAUUGGACCAAGUGUAAAGAAAGGUUGGACUACCUGCGAAGAAAGUACCGUGAUAGCCUCAAAAACAACAAUAAGACCGGAAGAGACCCUAUUAAAUGUCCUUGUUUUGAUAAACUGGACGCUGUUCUCGGUUGCUGACCUAUGAACAACCCCGGAGACGUGAGGAUGGAUAAUGGGGGAGUUCAGAUGAGGAAUCUGACUGUGGUUCGUCUCAGAGCCCUGAGGAUCACAACACCUCGAGGGAAAAUGAUGCAGAGGAUGAGGCAUCUCAGCCUCCAAAGCACCCCCACCUCCUCCUCCUGCUGCUGAACCCAAGGCACAAGGUGGGCUCUCAUGUUGGUAACACUUUUCAAUAAGGUACACAAAUGUAGGUAGUUACUGAGGAGCAAGUGGAUGAUAUGGUUAGCUGUAGGUGAUACUUAAAUCUGUCAAUGCUUUUUGAACACAACAGUAGAUCUACAAUAUUAGCCUUUGUUUGUCAGGUCUUUCCAAAUAAAAAUGGUGAAGAAAGCUCUGAAGUGACUGAAGUUCAUGUAAAACAGUCACACACCUUAAAAUCUCUGUUAAAAUAGGGUAAUAGUUUCUGACAUCAAACUUACCGUCUCUCCUCCAUCCAGGUUGCCAGUUAUUCAUUACAAGGAUAAUAUACAUUAGUAAACACAUUCUUUUUCAUUUUCUUUGUCUACAGAAACUUUUCGGCAGCUGCUGUACUUUAUAAUAGUAUCCCCAAAAAAAACGCAACCCGUUUGGAAUUUUUCACGUGACUGCAUUUUCAAAAUAGCCCGAUUGUGUGGGAAAACCAAGACACUGGCAACACCGUGUGUAGGUGAGGUAAAGGAGGAAAACGUCUCGGGUUACUGGUGUAACCCUUGUUCCCUGAGUAAGGGAACGAGACGCUACGUCGAAUGACGUGAUGGGAACCCAUCACGUCAUUCGACGUAGCGUCGAUAGUUCCCACGAAAGGGAACAGGCAGUGUACCAAAACACUGUGACGCAAUGGAGGGGGGACACAAAAUGUUUGCACCGUUUGCAUUUGUAUUGUUUUACUACUUACACAAUUAUUUUAAGUACCCCCCCGAAAUGGGAACCCCCCCUGACCCCUCUGCGAUUUCCGCCUAUGAUCACUCAGCUGAACUUUGGCACAUUGCGUGGGGCAGUGACAUUGCCAGGCACACAGAUGUAACCAAAACAAGUGUCCCGAAGGUAUAUUCACAAUUAAUUGACCGUUACAUAGUUCUUAAGGAACCGAACUUAAUUGAAUCACUGUAGCAUUGAAUGUUCCCGAUAUUUAUACAUUUAACGGUAUUUUGCACAUUUUAUGUACGGAAAAAGGUAAAAAAAAAAAAAAAAAAAAAGUUGAGACUCAACUUAGGCUGAACAAAUUCCGAAUGUGCCUUUUUAUUUGCACAUUUGUUUUAUAUUUUGUAACAAAAUCUUUUAUUUUGUAUUUAAACACUGAAAAAAGUUAUAUUUUAUAACAAUUGUUUAUUUUUUUUAUCCAAACACUGGGGGGGAAAAAAAAAGUUGAACAAAAGUUUUGUGAAUUGCUAAGCUCAGAAAUGAAGGACGCCCUGCACUAUAAAUAAGUGUUUUGUUUCAAUUUCACAUGUCUUGACUGCAUAGUUUGGGUAUGAGCUUCCAAGGCUUCUCUGCACUUUACUGAUUUUUGUGGAUAUGAGUUACCAAGGCCUCCCGGAUGUGCUCUGCUGGGGAGAGAGCAGGUGCAUCAUGCUGCUGUGGUCCUGCCUCUGGCUGAUCCAACACAUUUUCCUGG